UUAAUUCUAAGGGUAAAAUCGUUUAUAAAUUUAUAAGUGUUAGUUUUGCACUCAAUGCCAUCUUAUGUGGCUAUUUUUGAAAUUGAUUCUAUAUCCGGAUCAUUCACACACACCCACAAAUAUUUUUAUAAACCUAAAGUAGCCAUUCAUCCCCACACAUUCAAAAAAAUAAAAUGAAUCAACGAUUCAACUUAGGUAGUAAUUCACGUCGUCGAAAGAAAACUCAUUUUCCAGGGUCAAGUAAUCUUGGCAGAACAAUUCAGACAUGUCUGGUAAUGACAACACGGAUGUGUCGAGGAAAGACAAGGAUGCGUUUUCAGUGAUGACGUCAUGAUCUGGCGGGACCGUUUCCUUGUUCUUAGAUUCUCCAGGAAAACACGAGUGUUCUCCAAAGUAAGUGACGUCAAAGACUGUUUGAUCUCCAUCCGACAUCUGAACAUGUUUCGUGGCUAAACAUUGUCGGGAUUGGCUAUAUGUGCAUCUGAAGUAUCCUCUGUAAACAUAACAAAUUUAUAAAACGUAUAAUCCUUAAUUAAUUCCGUAAUUAAUGAAUUAAUUAAGAUUUAAAGCUCGUACUUUGGAUGUUUAGUGCCGAGAAUAUUCUUCUGUCCAUAUUUCUUCCAAUGGUAUCCAUCCUCCAGCGAUUCUGCCAACCCCUUUGCAAAGUUUACCGUCAUCUUGACGUGCCUAGUGAAUUUCUCCUUACUCCUCCGGAUCCUCUUCUUGCUCCUCCUGUUCUGGACCCUCGGAGUGUCCUCCGGUUUGAUCUGCUCUCCUUCGAAAACAGCAAACUGUGCGCGUAUCAUGGUAUUCUCAAUGGAAGUGGUUAAAGAGUUGACGAGAGAUUUGAUUGAGCUGAUAUCCAAACAGUGUAGAUCUUGUUGGUCGAGUAGAAGCUGAAGCUUCUUGGCGAAAACACGGGAGUUGUUGAUCUCGGCGAUGAGAUGAUUCUCCAUGCUUCUUCUUCGAUUGAUUCCGGUUGAUUUAAGAAGAGAUCGAAGAUAGGGUGGUUGGUUUGAUUUAUUUUCAGAACAAUUGGGACAGUCACUCAGACAACACAGGCAUUAAACGAAUAUAUGUUGAUGAAAUUGCGUAGAAAAGGAUUUCAAUUGGGGAUUGGGGCCGGUCAAUCCAAAGGAAAAUACAAUUCCGCAAUCAGCUUCCGCGUUCGGAUUAAGAAUGUGAAAUUAAGAAUGUGAAAUGUGAAUGUUUUUUUAAAAUAUUUUUACGUGUGAAUGCAAGAAUGGUUUCAUUAAAAUAUUAAGGGUAAAUAUAGUCUCUAGAUGCUAGAUAGUAGCUAGAUAAAAAGUAUUAAUUAUAAUCAAAAUCCUAAUUAUAAUUUGCAAGUUAUAAAUCAAAGACCUUGUUUCUGUUAAAACACAAAUAUACUUAAUUAUUAUCAAAUUUAUACUGAUUACUAUUAGUUGUUAGUAUUAGUUAUGGAUAAUAUAUUGAUAUAAAUACUUCAAUUCAUGUAUUUGACCCAAUUGUUUUUUUAUACAAUUGAUUUUGCUUUCAUAAAAUACAAUAGUUGUUCUCCUAAGAUCUGUUGCUUGCUCCCAUCAAGGAUUGAGCAAUCUCACAGUUUCACUGUGUUGAAGAAGAAAUUUUUGAAGUGGAUAGAGGAGAUGGUGAGAAAGAUAGAUGGGAUCGAGUUGAAUCUUCAAGGUGUGAAGUUCAGCUUGAAGGUUGAGAUUCCUCUUGAGAGGGAGUAUCAGCCAGAAAGUUCAGCCAGAAGUCGUCAAAUUUCGAGGGGGAGUAUCACAAACUCUCCCGACACUGCUGUCGCUUCGGCCAGAAGUCGUCAAAUUUCGAGGGGAGUAUCACAAACUCUUCCGACACUUUUGUCGCUUUGGCCAGAAGUCGUCAAAUUUCAGGGGGAGUAUCACAAACUCUCCCGACACUUCUAUCGCUUCGGUCAGAAGUUGUCAAAAAUUGAGCAUGGUAAGAUCUGUCGUUUCGGCCAGAUUUACCAAGGUUUUAUUGAGCAAAGGAAGGGCAUCACGAAAGGUAAAAUCGCAAGGUAAGUUCAAUAAGUAAAUAAAAAUACGCGUUUUGGACUGAUCUAGUUGUUUUGCAGGAUGUUUCCUUUUUUGCAGGUAAGAUUCCGCCAUCUUGGCCAGGAUCAGAUUCUAAUAGUGAAUCUGUAGCUUUGACCGGAAUCAGAUUCUAAUAGUGAAUCAACAGAUUCUGUCGCUUCGGCCAGAAUCAGACUCUGAUAGUGAAUCGGUCUGUCUUGUCGCUUUGGCCUUGACAGACCAGAGGUCAUUUUGUCGCUUUGGCCUUCUGUCGCUUCGUCCAGAAGUCAUCGAAUUCCAUUUUGUUGCUUUGGCCUUAAUGGACCAAGAAUUAUUUUGUCGCUUUGGCCUCAAUAAUUCUUCUAUCCUGUCGCUUUGGCUUUGAUAGACUUGGAGAUCAUUUUGUCGCUUUGGCCUUAAUGAUCUCGACCCACCUUGUCGCUUUGGCCUUGGUGAGGUAACCGUCAUUGCGGACAUAAAGUCGCUCUUGAUCAGGGUGGACUAUAAACAUCAGUUCUGAUAGUGAACUAGAUUCUGAUAGUGAAUCCACGCAUUCUGUUGUUUCGGCCAGAAUCAGAUUCUGAUAGUGAAUCUACGCAUUCUAUCGUUUCGGCCAGAAUCAGGCUCUGAUAGUGAGUCAGUCCAUUUUGUCGCUUUGGCCUUAAUGGACGGGAAUUAUUUUGUCGCUUUGGCCUUAAUAAUUCCCUCUCAUCUUAUCGCUUUGGCCUUGAUCAUGACACAGCAAAAGUCGUUCCUGAUCAGAGUUGGACUAUAAACACGUAGUUCCGUUGGCCUGAAGCUAGAUUCUGAUAGUGAAUCAAUCUAUCUGAUAGCUAGUGCAUGGAUAACGGAGUCAUUGUGUCGCUGUGGCCGCAAUGAUUCGAUCUCAUCUUGUCGCUUUGGCCUUGAUGCGGAUCACCUUGCUUGGGGGGGGAUACUGGCGAUACACGCAUGUUUCUUGUGCUCUCUUCAGGGGGAGUACUGGUGAGAUAUGCCUGAUUACGUCAGUCACUCCCAGCAACGCCCCUCAACAAGGAUUAGGGUUCCGUCGCUUUACGUCAGACCCCCGGAAGGCAUCCACGGUGCGGAGUAAGUGUCUAUGUCAAAUACUCAAGGCAACACCUGGGAAUCGCCGACUGGGACUACCAAGUCGCCGAUUCUAGGGGUGCGUCGCCGACUCCAGACAGGGCAUUCGGGUCUGGUAGACCGAGGACAUGACCACAAGGGAGUCGGCGACUCCACCUCUGAAUCGGCGACUCCCAUACCUGAGUCGUCGAUUCCCAGCCGUUACUUGGGAGGGCCCACGUCAUUAUGACAUCCUUAAUUGGGCACCAUAAUGGAGUGAGCCCCACGUUAAUGAAUGGGGAAACGCCCCCAAUACCCUAUAAAAGGGGUCCUCCACUCUCAAGUCAUUCCCACUUGACAACACUCCAACUAGAGAAAACCAAUGAGCCCGAGUCGCCGACUCCCACGUGAGUCGCCGAUUCCCCUCCUCUUCUGCAAGUACAUUGACGUAGAGUGCGCGUCGUGAACUUCAAAGCCUCCGACCCUCCUCGCAACCUCGCGAGCCCACUGGUAGCAGAUUUCGUGUUUCAUCAGCUAUAAACAUAAGGGUAUGCAUGCAUAAAGAAAAACAUAUUGUCAGCAAAAUAAAAUACUUAAGGACUGCAUGGAUAGAAUAAAAACAUCAAGGGCUUAACAUAAAUUAUUUAUGAAGUUUUUUACUAAGUUUAAAAUGAUUCACUGAAACUUAAAGGUCAAAAUCAUAUCUUUACAAUGAAUGAAUAUUUAUUUAAAACUUCAGGGGACUUAUAAUUAACAUUUACAUGAAGUUUUUAAUCGAAAAAUGCUUAGAAAUAUUUAAUACUUCCAAGGUUUAAAAUAAAUUUUUUUAAGUAUUAAUCUAAAUAUUUAUCAUAACUUCAAAGGGCUUAAAUGAAAUUUUUUAAGUAAAAUUUUAUUACUAAGACUUUAAGGACUUAAAUGAAAAUUUUAAAAUCUUUUAAAACUUAGUAAAUAUUUACAUUAUUAUAUAUUAGUCACUAAGUCAGAUUUUAAAACUUUAAGUGCUCAAUUCUUCUUAAAGAAGUUAGUGAAUAUUGAUUCAUACAUACAUAUCAUUCACUAAUAUAUCUUAUGGAUUAUAACAUUAUAAAAUCUUUAAUACAUACAUGUUAAGAUCAAUUUAUCCAUAACACACAUGGAUUAUUAUUUAUUGCAUGAUCUUAACACAAGGCAAUUUAAAUUAUCAUAUCAUACUUGUCUUAUAAUGUAUAUCAAAAUUGGCUCCAAUCCAAUAUUUUAUCAAUAAACAUAAAUUACAUGUUAUUUCUCUUAUAUGAUUGACUAACACUCUUAUAAGCGCAAGAAGUCACAUUUGGUCAACCACACAAAUCAAAUUUGUCAUCAAAGCUCAAUAAGGUAUAAAAUUUUAUUUUCUCCACAAAUUAGAUAUGUUCUAUCAUUAAGGGGAAGAUACUUCAUAGGUAUUUAUUUUAACUUUGUCAAUACUUUAUUGUUUUAAGGGGGAGAUAUCAUGCAUGAUCCACUAUCUUUAAAUUAAAUAUUAUGGGCCAAUAAUUCAGGGGGAGCAUGCUUAUAAGGAUAAAAUAGAAUAUUGAAUAAACAUGAAUUAAAACAUAUAUACCAUCGACAAAGGGGGAGAAUGUAAAAUCAAAAUUAUCGACAUAUGAUUAUAUUUUAAUCAUGUCAAUUUAAACCCUAAUUACACUAUUAAUCUAUAGAGCGAAAUUAGUCAAUAUUAAACCUAACUUCAAUUAAUUAAUUAAUCAUUUGAAUCAAAGGUUUAAUUCAAAAUUAAAAUUCAAAUUGGAAUAAUUGCAUCUUUUACCUUAAAUAUUAUUAUUAUUAUCUUUGACUCUUUAUUCAAAGUAUAAUAUUCCAAGGGGACAAAACACUAUUCACGUUUGAAUUUUUCUAAGAUAAGAUUCUCCAACAACACACCAUCCAAGGAAAAGUAACACUAUUCAAGAUAAGAUCAAAGACAAAGUUUGGAUUUAUGUGAAAAAUCAAGGAGCCAUCCAUUGAAGAUCCAAGGGUGAACAUCAAGUGGCCAAGGCUAUAAAUAGAAGGGUAUACUCCUCAUUUCCACUCACCACACUACAAGCAAUCAAAAGAGUUUUUCACUCCACAUUUGAGUUCAUAAGUGUUCUUGCUUCUAAACUUCCAAAGUUCUCAAGUGUUCUAGCUUUCCAAAGCUUCAAAAGCUCUCCAACUUCUUUUUCUAAUCUUCUUGUUCAUCUCUACAAGAAGUUUCUACUCCUCUAAUCAUCUCUUGUGUGUGUCCACUUUGGUUGAGAGGUUUGUCUCAAGAUCACCAAAGUGUGAGAAAAGGUUUUUGAGCUAAACUAAAAAACUCUAAGUUUGGUUUUAUAGAGUUUCCGGGAAAACUCUUAGAUCGAAUCUACCUUGAAAGAUAGAUUUUUAGGUUUUUAAGAGUUCCUUGAUACUUUAAGGUGUUAACCUACCCAUAAAGUUAAGAGGUUUUUAAGAGUUCCAUAAUACUCUAAAGUGUAAGUCUACCCGUAAAAGACUGGUUCCUAAACGAAGUUAACCUUAAAGCUUAGAGAGGUUUUUAAGAGUUCAUUGAUACUCUAAGGCACUAACUUACCCGUAAAAGUUAGAGGUUUUUAAAAGUUCCAUAAUACUCUAAGGUGUGAGUCUACCCGUAAAAGACUGGUUCCUAAGCGAAGUUAGCCUUAAAGCUUAGAUAGGUUUUUAAGAGUUUCCUUGAUACUCUAAGGUUUUGCCAUAACCUUUAGGCUAGUGAAUUCCGAUAGUAUGUCGGGACUGGAUUAGCCCUUGUUUGGGUGAACUAGUAUAAAUUCUCUUGUGUUGUUCUUUGUUAACUUUAGUUUUUAUCUUUCAUCUAAAAACAACUAAACAACACUUAAUUGAAAAGGAUCCUUCUUCCAGUUAUCUGGUCAAAUACAGAGGUUGACUACUUUACGCAGAUCUCUCAUCCAGUUAUCUGGUCAACUAUCUGAGGUUAUAUUCAUUGCGUUAAAUCUUUGUUCAGAUAUUUGUUCAAGCAUUUACUAAUCAAAUAUAUAUCCAGUUAUCUGAUCAUUUACUCUAUAACUUGUUUAUCAAAUAUAUAUCCAAUUAUCUGAUCAUUUACUUUAUAAUAUAACUUGUGUUUAUAAUAUAACUUAGUAUUCAUAUACUACAGUUAUUUAUAAAACACUAUCUAAUAAGUUAACUCAAUAUUCAUAUAAGCUUUGAAGAGAAAGAGGCAAAGUUAUAAAUAUAUAUAUAUAAUAUUAUAUUGUAAAAUAUAAUAUUAUAAUCAUUUAAAGUUAUAAUAUUCUUAUAUUAUUGUUGUUCAACCAUUUGUAUCUUAAGUGUUUACAGGUAAUUCCGUUAUUAACCUGUAUAAAUCGAAAAGAUGCUAUUAUCCCCUCUUAUAGCUUCGGAUCACGAUCCAACAAAAUGAAGGUCUAUACCAACUUCCGAUGAAGAUGGAGAUAAAUAAAAUACCAGAAGCAUUAUCAAGUGAGCGGGUAUCAAACGAUCAAUGGCAUUCUAGGCUUGGACAUUUACACAAUCAGGCGAACAAACAAAUGGUUUCUAAAUCUAUAAUAUCAUCAAAUUGUAACAAAAUUUUGAGUUGUGAGUCAUGUAUGAUUAAUAAAUCAAGUUCUUCACCUCAUAAAACAAGUACUAGAAUAUAUUCAACUCCACUCAACGGGUAUAUACAGACAUUUGGGGGUCGGUCUCAAUCAUAUUAUCAGAAGGGUUCAAGUAUUAUAUAAAUUUUGUUGAAGCAACCACCCAUUUUAAUUGAGUGUUUCCACUAAGAAGCAAGCCUGAGGUAACUCGAUCAGAUAUUUGAGAAAUUCACAAGUUAAGUGGGACGAAAUUAUUGUACUCCUCUGCUUAUUAUCCCCAAACUGAUGGCCAAACAGAGGUUGUUAAUAGAACCUUGGAGAUUUACUUAAGGUCCUACUGCCAUGAAGACCCUAAGCAAUGGUUGAAUCUACUGCCAUGGGCAGAAUUAUGGUACAAUUUCGGGUAUCAUUCAUCAUAAGGCAUGACUCCUUUUAAGGCAUUAUAUGGGAAGGAGGCUUCAAAAUUAAAACCUUAUAAUCUUGGAAAAUCUGAUAUUGAGGCAGUUGAUAUGAUCCUACAGCUUAGAGAGAGCACUCUGGCCAUUAUGAAAGAAAAUUUACAUAAGGCACAAGCAAGAAUGAAAUUAAAGGCUAAUAAGAAAAGGGAAGAUAUUGUGUUUGAGGAAGGUGAGUGGGUAUUGGUGAAACUACAUCCCUACAUGCAAGAAUCUGUUGCUAAUAGACUUCAUAACAAACUGGGACAAAAAUAUUUUGGGUCCUAUCAAAUUCAGAAAAAAAUUAACAGUGCUGCCUAUAGAUGGAAGUUACCAAAUGGAAGUAAAAUCCACAAUACCUUUCAUGUAUCAAAACUGAAGAAAUUCCAAGGGAAUAAUCCAGAAAAUGCUACAUUUGAUAAUCCCCUCAUAGCUGUGGAGAAUCGUCCUAUAAUAUACCCAAUAGCCAUACUUGAUUCAAGAUUUAUUUGGAAAGGAAAAAACAAAGUUAAACAAGUGCUGGCCCAGUGGAGUGGAUCCUUACCGAAAGACUCAUUGUGGGAGUCUGUGGCCGAGGUAGCAUCGCUCUUUCCAUCCUUAAACCUUGACAACAAGGUCGUGCUUAAAGAGGGAGGAGAUGAUACGAUAUUGAUCAGCUUUGGUGACGUAUCGGAAGAUGUCUACGGGAUAACAGCAAUCGCCGGUGAGGAAUCCCUAGCUGGAAAUGAAUUGGGGACGGGCGACAGUUCAGUGCAGUUGAACAACCAAGAACUUGAUCCGACUUUUAAAUCUCAAAGAAAGAGGGAGAGGCCGAACCGUCUCAAAGAAAGAUUAUAAUAUACCCAAAUGAUUAAAUGAAAGUUAUAAUAAAUUUACUUAAAAGACCUUUAUAAGUAGUCUAUUUCAAUUCGGUCCUGUUUGUAUUAAAACUCUGCAAUCAUUGAGAAUCAUUAUCGAAUUCUGAAAUUUACUGUUCCAUUACAAUCCUCUCAAACCCUAACAUCCGACAACCGCCUCCCCAAUUCUCCGGAUCUGUCUCUACUCUUGCCGUAUUGAGUACUCAAUUGAGUUGCUUAACAGCAAACACCUAAAUCUCAAUUUCAGGGAUUUAUUCCCGUUGCUAGCGCCUUGGACACCCAGGAUUUUUGAUCUUGGCUUUAAGACACUUCGAUCUGUCAGGUCCGGUUAUUUUUAUUGAGAUUAAUCAAGAUAGACAUAUAUCAAUGACUAGGAAGAAGAUGUGUUUUUACCCGUUAACGGUAGAGAUGACAGUUUCGUAAAUUUGAUUUAAUUUUAAGGGUAAAAUCGUUUAUAAAUUUAUAAGUGAUUAGUUUUGCACUCCAUGCCAUCUUAGGUGGCUAUUUUUGAAAUUAAUUCUAUGCACAAAUAUUUUUAUAAACCUAAAGUAGCCAUUCAUCCCCACACAUUCAAAAAAAAAAAUGAAUCAACGAUUCAACUUAGGUAGUAAUUCACGUCGUCGAAAGAAAACUCAUUUUCCAGGGUCAAGUAAUCUUGGCAGAACAAUUCAGACAUGUCUGGUAAUGACAACACGGAUGUGUCGAGGAAAGACAAGGAUGCGUUUUCAGUGAUGACGUCAUGAUCUGGCGGGA
rnacentral:lncRNA from 1 species